UACGUAGGGUCCGAGCGUUGUCGGAAUUAUUGGGCGUAAAGAGCUCGUAGGCGGUGUGUCGCGUCGGCCGUGAAAACCUGCAGCUUAACUGUGGGCUUGCGGUCGAUACGGGCAUCACUGGAGUUCGGCAGGGGAGACUGGAAUUCCUGGUGUAGCGGUGAAAUGCGCAGAUAUCAGGAGGAACACCGGUGGCGAAGGCGGGUCUCUGGGCCGAUACUGACGCUGAGGAGCGAAAGCGUGGGGAGCGAACAGG
rnacentral:rRNA from 1 species